AGAGUUUGAUCCUGGCUCAGGAUGAACGCUAGCGGCAGGCCUAAUACAUGCAAGUCGAACGGAUAUAGAGACUUCGGUUUCUAUAUUAGUGGCGCACGGGUGCGUAACGCGUAUGCAACCUACCUUUUACUGGGGGAUAGCCCGGAGAAAUCCGGAUUAAUACCGCAUGAUAUCCUUUGAGGGCAUCCGAAGAGGAUUAAAGAUUUAUUGGUAAAAGAUGGGCAUGCGUGCCAUUAGCUAGUUGGUGGUGUAACGGACCACCAAGGCGACGAUGGCUAGGGGUUCUGAGAGGAUGAUCCCCCACACUGGUACUGAGAUACGGACCAGACUCCUACGGGAGGCAGCAGUAGGGAAUAUUGGGCAAUGGACGCAAGUCUGACCCAGCCAUGCCGCGUGCAGGAUGAAGGCCUUCUGGGCUGUAAACUGCUUUUAUCUAGGAAGAAAAAACCCUUGCGAGGGGAACUGACGGUACUAGGUGAAUAAGCACCGGCUAACUCCGUGCCAGCAGCCGCGGUAAUACGGAGGGUGCAAGCGUUGUCCGGAUUUAUUGGGUUUAAAGGGUGCGUAGGCGGCCCGUUAAGUCCGUGGUGAAAGCCAACAGCUCAACUGUUGAACUGCCAUGGAUACUGACGGGCUUGAGUACAGACGAGGUAGGCGGAAUGGAUGGUGUAGCGGUGAAAUGCAUAGAUACCAUCCAGAACACCGAUUGCGUAGGCAGCUUACUAGGCUGUAACUGACGCUGAGGCACGAAAGCGUGGGGAGCGAACAGGAUUAGAUACCCUAGUAGUCC
rnacentral:rRNA from 1 species